rnacentral:lncRNA from 1 species
CAGCUGCCCGGGUGUGGACCAACACACUGCUCAUCAAGCCACGCUGUCAUGGCAUCCCACGUAGAAAAUACAAGAAGAUUGGCACAGAUGUUAGCUCAAGGCCAAUCUUCCUCACCAAAAAAGAUGGGUGAAGACAUUUGUUCAGGGGAGCUAUUUCUACCUGCAAGUCCCCAUCCACCUUCUUGGGACACGGGUUGGCCCAGAGCCCAAAGAGGGAGGCGACUUCACAACCUUUGAAAAGUGUCCCCAAGGCAGGAUGCCCAGGACUCUUGCUGACUCUGCCUUAAGGAAGCUGAGGUGAGCUGACGGGGCUGUGAUCUGACCCCCAGGAAACCCAGAACGAGAGGCAGAUGGCUCUGAUGGUGGAGCCAGGGGUCUGCUCAUCCGUGGUCGGCGUGGAGGCCCCCUGGGAGGGGCUGAGGGCCGGCGUGGAGGCCCCCUGGGAGGGGCUGAGGGUCGGCGUGGAGGCCCCCUGGGAGGGCCUGAGAGAGGAGCUACAAUCCGGAUCAGAGAUGCCAGUGCCCCAGCCAAGGGUCUCCAGGAAAGUGACGGCCUCAGAGUCCCCAAAACACAUCCCCGCCGAGUCCAUUGGGGGGGGGCCCUGAAACCCCCUGCCGGGUCAUCCAAAGAGAGCAGAGCCACCAGCCGAGGAGGAGCCGCCCUGUCCCCUCCCCCUGUCCCUGGGCAGGAGGGGCCCAAAGGUUGAGAGGGUGAUGGGGACAGGAAGAGAGUCCACAGGGGGACCAGCCCCUUUCCCAUAGAGGCCUCCAGCCUGGCGGGCCCGGCCCGGGGCCCCCAUCCCACACCAAGUCUGGCGAUCAGAGAUGGGAUUGAGUCGCGGAUCUGGGCCUGAGUCCAGUGCCGAAUUCUCCGCUGGGGCAGGGCAGGACUCCACCGCGGGGUGAAGAGGCAGUGGCGCAACAAAGCCACAUUUGCUCAACCUCCAGACGUCAGGAAUCUUCACUUUACACCCCAGGGCCGCGAGGCGAAACUGUGACGCCGGUAGGAGCACAGAGGAGGAGCCCGUCCUGCCUGGGGAGCCUGAGGGGCCCUCUCGGAGCUGAGUCUAAGGGAACAGACGGAAACUACUACUGUGCUGCUCACUCUGCACUCGGCCAGGCCAUGCGCUGCACACGGAUCUGUGUAGGGAAGUCGCAGCCACCCUUUGAGGCAUCUGUCAUCAUCACAUUCGACAGCUCAGGCCAUUGAGGCCCAACCGGGGGACGUGGCUUACUCAGGGUCACAGCUUGUGGCUGGAGCUCUCGUGGGAUGCUGGCCACACACUCCCAGCUGCCACCCUGCAGAACCACACGGGGCUUGUCUGCUGAAAGGCCAGAGGGACUGAGAACCACGAGAUACCACUUCACACCCAUUAGGAUGGCGAUAAUGACAAUUAUUAUAGUAAUAGUAAAACAGACAGGAAGUAUGGGCCAGUGUGUGGAGAAAUUGGAACCCUGGAACCCUCGUGCAUUGCUGGUGGGGAUGUAAAAUGGUGUAACCACUGUGGAAAAACUCUAGAAGUUUCUAGAAAGUGAAGCAUGGCGGCCAGCCCCAUGGCUGAGUGGUUAAGUUUGGCGUGGUCUUCUUCGGCGGCUGGGGUUUGGUUCUUGGGCGUGAACCUGCACCACUCGUUUUUGGCCAUGCUGUGGCAGCAACCCACAUACAAAACAGAGGAAGAUUGGCACAGAUGUUAGCUCAGGACAAAUCUUCCUCAGGAAAAAAAAAGUUAAACCACGUGACCCAGCAACUCCACUCCUCACUGGAUACAUAAAAGAACUGAAAACAUGUUCAUACAAAAACUUGUACAUGAAGGCUCAGAGCAGCAGGAUCCAUAGCAAAGGUGGAAACAACACAAAUGUCUACAGGCCAAUGAAUGGAUAAACAGAGUGUGCUUGACCCUUGUAAGGGAAUAUUACUCAGCCCUGAAAAGGAAAGAAAUACUGAGACACACUGCAACAGAGGAGAACUCAAACUUUGCACGAAAGAUGAUGAACGUUUCGCUCCGUGAAAGAAGCCAGACACGAAAGGCCACAUAUUGUGCGAUUCCAUUCAUAGGAAAUGUCCAGAACAGACUGCUCAGGAGCUAACACUCCAUCUAUUUUAUUUUUGUUUCUUGACUGUCGCCCCCACGAAGACCAUCUCUGCACGAGGGCAGAGACUUUUGGCCGUCGUGUCCAUGGCUGGGUCCCCAGCACCUGGAACGGCGCCUGGCACAGAGUGUGCGCUCCAUAAACACCGUCGAGAGAGAGAGGCAGAGACACAGAGACAGAGAGAGAGAACGACGCCGUUAUAACUCAGAGGGAGGCCUGGCCGCGCGGGGGAGCUCGCGGCCCGCGCACUUCGGACCCAGACCAAAGGACCCGGGGAAAAAUCCACCAGAAAAUGACCUCCCCGCGCAGGGUUUUCCCAGACCCUCCGAGGCGCAGGGACAUCCCCCGUCCCCACCCUGCGCCUUCGCCCAGGCGGCUCUGGGCAGGAAUGGGCACCCUGCACCCUUCCAGGAGAAAGAUCCCCGUGGAAAUUCCUUCAGGACCGUGCGGGAGGGGAAGGGACGCUGUUCUGGAUGACGAGUGACUCGCAGCCCCUCCCGCGGAGGAAGGGCUCCAGGGUUCCCCGGGGCCCCCUCCCUUCCCCUUCUGCCGCGCGACCUCCCUGGCCCCUCCGCGGUCUCCAUGGCGCCGCAGCGCGCGUCCCAC